UAGGGAAUCUUCCACAAUGGGCGCAAAGCCUGAUGGAGCAACACCGCGUGAGUGAAGAAGGGUUUCGGCUCGUAAAGCUCUGUUGUUAAAGAAGAACACGUAUGAGAGUAACUGUUCAUACGUUGACGGUAUUUAACCAGAAAGUCACGGCUAACUACGUGCCGG
rnacentral:rRNA from 1 species